rnacentral:lncRNA from 1 species
CUUAGCUUCCUUGUUUAUAAAUUAGAAAUAGUAACAGUGCCAAACAUUGGAUGAUUGUUAGGACUGAAAAGAUAAUGCUUUUAACUAGUAUCUGACUGAAUAAAGUUCAGAAUAAAAGUUGCCAUCUAUUAUUUUUAUAUCUAAUUCUGACCUGGAAGAAAGCUAGUCAUAUCAGGUCCACUAGAAGUAUCCAUAGCUAACUAGUAAGUUCUUGCCUGGAAUGUGCCCUGGUUCUCACAGCCUAGCUGGCUGCUUGAGGAAAAAGCAUGAUUUUGUUCUUACUACCAUCUCUUACCACACUCUCUCUUCCCUUGGCCUUGGGAGCUCUAUCCUGGAAUCCCUCCCACCUCUCAAGACAAAGGGACAAGUGUCCUUUUGGAGGUAUUAAUGAUAUGGCCCAGAUCUUCCAGGCCUAUUGUGGCUCCCACCUUGGAUUCCAUCUUAGCUUCAGAGGAAGUGCACACCCAGGAACUUGGAAGCAAACUGCUACAUCCACGUUUUCCAUUCAGAUCACCAAAUUGGGCUAGGAGGAAACAAAAGAAGAAAUGACAAAAAGAGAGGAGAGAGAAUCUGCUUGCAAAUGUCCAGCCUGGUGUGCGUUCUCCGUGAUUUAUCCUGAAUGGAUAAAACAUUAAUGAAGAAAAUCAAAACAAAUGCAUCUCCCAGACUCUCCAGCAAGGAUGUUUUUUUACACAGUCUAUCUGAGAAAGAAGACAAGAGGAUGGAGAGGAAAAGCCGUCUCCAUGUGACUCCUUGGCAUUUCAUCAUCAAUCAGCAUAAAGUCAGAAACAUCACUAAGUAUUGAAGUUGAAAUUAACUGCAACCUCUGACGGAAAAGUACUUAUUUAGAAUCUUUCAGUUAGUUUCUGUAAUGAAAUAUGGCAAUGAAUUAGCCACACGAUGGUCUGGAGAAAGGUGCUUAAUAAGAAAAACUGCUCAUGUUGGGAAGCCAAGUUCUUCUCAUGUUUAUUUUAGUGACCUCUCCUCUUCCUUUCUCCCUUCUCCCCACCACCCCCCAAAGCUGUCCUUUUGUGAAGCCAUCAUGGCUGACAACAGAGGCAAAUUGUUCUGAAGAACUUUGAUUAGACUUAAAUUUUGCAAGGUGUCAGGAGCCCUUGUAAUUGUUAAAAGUCCAGAGGCUCUCAAAGAUUGGUAUUCAAAAGAGAGGCAGAGUGUACAAGGGUUAGAGGUUGGGGUUCUGCAGCCCCACUACUUGGAUUGGAAACUGGUCCCCCAACAUUUACUCCUGAGACCUUGAGGAAGUCACUUGGUGUGAGCCUCAGUUUCUUCAUCUGUAAAAUAGGUACAAUAAUAACAAAACUCAUGUCAUGGGUAGGUAUUAUGAUAUCAAAAAAAAAAGCUAGAAUAGAAUAGAAUCUGAUACCUAGAAAUAAUCUUUAAAUGGUUACUGCUUUUGUGUAGGAAAAAUUUAGGAUGUGUUUUUAAAAUGUAGAUCUCUGGAUUCCCACUUUGAGAGAUUCCAACUUAUUAAAUGUGAAUCAGAGCCCAGAUAUCUGUAUUUUUAUCAACAUCCCAGGUACUCCUGAACCACACUUGAAGUGGCACAGAUUUGACCAAACCCCCUGUUUGGAAGAUAAGAAAAAUGAGUUCUAGAAGGCAAAAUGCCAGUGUCAAGGUAAACAGUGAUCCACCUGAUAUCUCAAGCCCCUCAUCUUCCAUUCUAACUAAUGUGGUCUCCAUCAUAGCCACCUCCAUUUAUUGAGCCUUUAGUAUGAGGUUCUUAACCAGAAGGGCAUAUCAGAAACACCUAAAGAGCCUUUCCAAAUACUCAAGGUCAUUGUCCAGCCCAGAUCUGUGGAAUUUCAUGACAAGUGGCAGAUCUCAGACCUGAACCCAAUGGUCCCUGAUUGUUUUAUGGUACCAGCUAACUUUUCAUUAGCUUCUCAUGCUCAUCUUAGGCUAGAGCUGAGGGCAUAUACUUUAACUCAUAUUUGAGUCAUUUUUCUUUCCUAACCAUACUGCUGGAUUAUGGUACUAUAACAGAUAUAAAUUAUUAACUAAUAAAUAUAUUUUCAGUUUAUUUCUCUUUCCUUCA